rnacentral:lncRNA from 1 species
UGACGACUGCUGUCUGUGCUGUGAGCCUCAUCUUCAAUUAACAAUUACUUCUGUUAUCAUUUAAGCAUGCAGACCUACAGACAACACCUUGAUGACAUCGAAGAAAUAAGGAUGUUUAGUCAAGUUGAUGAUAUGAGGAAGCGACGAUUUAAUAUAAGACGAGAUCCUUUUCAGUAUUAUAAUGAAAAGGAAUUUAUUCAGUGCUACAGAGCAUCUAAGGACAGCACCAGGGAGCUGCUUACAAAAAUCAGACAUCAUCUCCCGCAUAUUCACAACGUCAAGACUUUGUGACAGUCUGCAGGCCGGUGGUUAUCGAGGCUUUCUCCUUGGUUAUAGUGAAUAUGCGUUGCGUCCAUACUUACUCACUCCAAUCCAUAAUCCAGCUAAUGAAAGGCAGAGGAAAUAUAACAGAUCUCAUAUUAAAACAAGAACUACAAUUGAAAGGACAUUUGGAGUGUGGAAGAGGAGAUUUGCUGUCUUGCAACAUGUAAGAGCAAAGCUGUCUACUACCAAAAAUAUUAUAAUUGCAUGUGCAGUUCAACAUAAUAUUACUUUGAUUUCUGGACUUCCACUGGACAUAGAAGACAUGCAUUAAGAAGUAAUACGGCUUUAGUUAGUUAGGUAACUACUAUGUUCCAUACAUUACUUUAAGUGGUGAACGAUUCAUGUCAUUAAAUUUUAAUAAAACAGUGGUUCUAUA